CCCACCUCCUCCAUCCAGGCCCCCUCCCGGUCCGCCAUACCAGCCACCAGCACCUGUGCCUAGACCUCCACCCCAACGUCCUUCCCUUCGGCCACCACCUGCAUACCAGCCACCAGGACUACCUGUGCCGAGACCACCGCCUCCUCCAGGGCCUACGCCUUUCCCAAGGCCACCG